ensembl:lncRNA
CACCCCAGCAGACCUUCUUUCUAAAUGCCUUUUGUUUUCAUUUCCCACAGUCUAGCCCAUCUGGCAGCUUUGUGAUACCGGACAUAACCCACAAAAGCUUGAGCUGUUUCAUUUUCUGAAUAAAUGAGUUCUCAGUCACUGUGAUCAAAGUUCAGUGUUCUUCAUCUGAGGUCUCCAAUCCCCUCUGCCUGGAGCCUGGCCACCAGCCCAGCCAGGGUGCUCCUUGUUCCAGUGAAAAUCUGCAAUCUCACAUAGAUCUCACAAUACUUGUACAGCAGGUGGUGUCCAUAUUCACUCCUCAUAAUCUUCUUGUGCUGCUGCUGUUCCCAGUGUUGGAGAAGGCCACAGGCUGUGUACCCAGCUCCACACUGAGAACAGAUAGCCUACCCCUGAG